rnacentral:rRNA from 1 species
UACGGCGGGUGCAAGCGUUGCUCGGAAUCACUGGGCGUAAAGCGUACGCAGGCGGCUCGGUAAGUCGGGUGUGAAAGCCCGGGGCUCAACCCCGGAAUUGCGCCCGAUACAGCCGAGCUUGAGUACGGGAGAGGGAGAGCGGAAUUCCUGGUGUAGAGGUGAAAUUCGUAGAUAUCAGGAGGAACACCAGUGGCGAAAGCGGCUUCCUGGCCCGAUACUGACGCUCAUGUACGAAAGCGUGGGGAGCAAACAGG